CCACGUGCUAAAUCAGAGGGGCCAGGAAGGAAAUUCACAUCUUGAAUUCCAUUCCACUCAAUCACAUCAACCUGUAAAUUCAGAGGAAGGAAAAAAAGGAAAGGAAACAUUCUUUUCAAAAGGACUUUUGAAAAAGGGGUGUUGUCUCCAGCGGAUCGAGGGGCAUUGGCUCCUGCUUUCCUCUCCAGCGGCAGGUGUGGACAGCAGGGUGCAUUCUGAGCACAGAGGCUGAGCCAGCCUGACGUUCCCCACAGGCAGCCAGCGGGAGGGCCACGUGCUUUUCCUGUCAAAGCCCCACUCCGCCUGUGCUGGCUGGUGAUAGAGAGGCACAUCAGUCCUCUUUUCAGAAGCAAGGCCUUGUGUUUGUUUUGCGUCUUAUUUUAUGGACUGGGUCUUCAAAGACAACAUUUAAUAAUAAAGAUUACAGAGGUGACCUACCCGUGUUCCCGA